GAGACGCUGUGCGGCGAAGGAGGUCGCUCGCUUUCCGGCGGCGAGCGGCAGCGCGUUUCCAUUGCUCGAGCGCUUCUC
rnacentral:tRNA from 2 species